rnacentral:tRNA from 3 species
GGUGAUUAGCUCAGCUGGGAGAGCACCUCCCUUACAAGGAGGGGGUCGGCGGUUCGAUCCCGUCAUCACCCACCAC